rnacentral:rRNA from 1 species
UACGUAGGGGGCAAGCGUUGUCCGGAAUCAUUGGGCGUAAAGAGCGUGUAGGCGGCUUGGUAAGUCCGCUGUGAAAGUCCAGGGCUCAACCCUGGAAAGCCGGUGGAAACUGUCAAGCUUGAGUCCGGAAGAGGCGAGUGGAAUUCCUGGUGUAGCGGUGAAAUGCGCAGAUAUCAGGAGGAACACCAAUGGCGAAGGCAGCUCGCUGGGACGGUACUGACACUGAGAGACGAAAGCCAGGGGAGCGAAUGGG